GACGAACGCUGGCGGCGUGCUUAACACAUGCAAGUCGAACGGAAAGGCCCUGCUUUUGUGGGGUGCUCGAGUGGCGAACGGGUGAGUAACACGUGAGUAACCUGCCCUUGACUUUGGGAUAACUUCAGGAAACUGGGGCUAAUACCGGAUAGGAGCUCCUGCUGCAUGGUGGGGGUUGGAAAGUUUCGGCGGUUGGGGAUGGACUCGCGGCUUAUCAGCUUGUUGGUGGGGUAGUGGCUUACCAAGGCUUUGACGGGUAGCCGGCCUGAGAGGGUGACCGGCCACAUUGGGACUGAGAUACGGCCCAGACUCCUACGGGAGGCAGCAGUGGGGAAUAUUGCACAAUGGGCGGAAGCCUGAUGCAGCAACGCCGCGUGCGGGAUGACGGCCUUCGGGUUGUAAACCGCUUUCGCCUGUGACGAAGCGUGAGUGACGGUAAUGGGUAAAGAAGCACCGGCUAACUACGUGCCAGUAGCCGCGGUGAUACGUAGGGUGCGAGCGUUGUCCGGAUUUAUUGGGCGUAAAGGGCUCGUAGGUGGUUGAUCGCGUCGGAAGUGUAAUCUUGGGGCUUAACCCUGAGCGUGCUUUCGAUACGGGUUGACUUGAGGAAGGUAGGGGAGAAUGGAAUUCCUGGUGGAGCGGUGUAAUGCGCAGAUAUCAGGAGGAACACCAGUGGCGAAGGCGGUUCUCUGGGCCUUUCCUGACGCUGAGGAGCGAAAGCGUGGGGAGCGAACAGGCUUAGAUACCCUGGUAGUCCACGCUGUAAACGGUGGGUACUAGGUGUGGGGUCCAUUCCACGGGUUCCGUGCCGUAGCUAACGCUUUAGGUACCCCGCCUGGGGAGUACGGCCGCAAGGCUAAAACUCAAAGGAAUUGACGGGGCCCCGCACAAGCGGCGGAGCAUGCGGAUUAAUUCGAUGCAACGCGUAGAACCUUACCUGGGUUUGACAUGGAUCGGGAGUGCUCAGAGAUGGGUGUGCCUCUUUUGGGGUCGGUUCACAGGUGGUGCAUGGCUGUCGUCAGCUCGUGUCGUGAGAUGUUGGGUUAAGUCCCGCAACGAGCGCAACCCUUGUUCACUGUUGCCAGCACGUUAUGGUGGGGACUCAGUGGAGACCGCCGGGGUCAACUCGGAGGAAGGUGGGGAUGACGUCAAGUCAUCAUGUCCCUUAUGUCCAGGGCUUCACGCAUGCUACAAUGGCUGGUACAGAGAGUGGCGAGCCUGUGAGGGUGAGCGAAUCUCGGAAAGCCGGUCUCAGUUCGGAUUGGGGUCUGCAACUCGACCUCAUGAAGUCGGAGUCGCCAGUAAUCGCAGAUCAGCAACGCUGCGGUGAAUACGUUCCCGGGGCU
rnacentral:rRNA from 1 species